ACAUUCGAUGCACGGAAAGACCUUACCUACCCUUGACAUGUACGGAAGCCACGAGAGAUCGAGGUGUGCUCGAAAGAGAACCGUAACACAGGUGCUGCAUGGCUGUCGUCAGCUCGUGUCGUGAGAUGUUGGGUUAAGUCCCGCAACGAGCGCAACCCUUGUCAUUAGUUGCUACGAAAGGGCACUCUAAUGAGACUGCCGGUGACAAACCGGAGGAAGGUGGGGAUGACGUCAAGUCCUCAUGGCCCUUAUGGGUAGGGCUUCACACGUCAUACAAUGGUACAUACAGAGGGCCGCCAACCCGCGAGAGGGAGCUAAUCCCAGAAAGUGUAUCGUAGUCCGGAUUGUAGUCUGCAACUCGACUACAUGAAGUUGGAAUCGCUAGUAAUCGCGGAUCAGCAUGUCGCGGUGAAUACGUUCCCGGGUCUUGUACACACCGCCCGUCACACCAUGNGAGCGGGUUUCACCAGAAGUAGGUAGCCUAACCGUAAGGAGGGCGCUUACCACGGUGGGAUUCGUGACUGGGGUGAAGUCGUAA
rnacentral:rRNA from 1 species